GCCUUGAGUGGGGAGCAUAUUGGGGAGACAGCUGGAGUAGGUGCGGAUUGAGGUUAGUAGGGAAGGAGGGCGGUAUGUGCCGCGAGGGAAGGUGACACAGCUCCAAACUGCAGAACAGAAGGAGGACGGUUCCCAACCUCCGCCGCUAACCCGUCUCCACUGGCGCUGCGGCGGCUCGGGGCGCGGGGCUUGCGCCGCGGCGUCGUGACGUCACGGAGGUGGCGGCCGUGGUUGGCGCAGGGUCCGCGGCUGCAAAGUGUGAAUUACGCUGGGCUCGCGCCACUGGAGGAGUGAAGCCAGGCUCCAGGGGAGGGGAGGGGCAGAACGGCGGCGGCGGCGACCUGAGCUGGUGCUGCUCUUGAUCCUGGCGCACCCUGGAUCUUGACGCUGGUUCCAGCUCUCUUUUCUUGCAGCGCUCCCGCUCUACUCCUCCCCGCAUUAGAGCCCUGGGGCGGUGGGGUUACCUUUCCGACUUUGCCGGUGCUACCCCCGCGGGCACCCCGGAUCCGGGCGUUCGCGGGUCCUGUUAACUGUCGCUGCGACCGCCUAAGCGCACUCCCGCCGGCUGUCCGGGCGCUGUGCUCUGGUGGCGGAGGCGUGAGUGCGGCUUCCUGGCCCGGAGUCGGUACCCUCCAGCCCUGCCCCCGCCUCGGCCCGGUGCCCCGCAGCCGCGGCCCCUUCCCAGCGCAGGGGCCGGCGGCCGGGGCAGGGCGGACGUAUUCAAUGGAAGUAUGUUACCAACUGCCGGUGCUGCCCCUGGACAGGCCGGUCCCCCAGCACGUCCUCAGCCGCCGAGGAGCCAUCAGCUUCAGCUCCAGCUCCGCGCUCUUCGGCUGCCCCAAUCCCCGGCAGCUUUCACAGAGACGUGGAGCUAUUUCCUAUGACAGUUCUGAUCAGACUGCAUUGUAUAUUCGUAUGCUAGGAGAUGUACGUGUAAGGAGUCGAGCAGGAUUUGAAUCAGAAAGAAGAGGUUCUCAUCCAUAUAUUGAUUUUCGUAUUUUUCACACUCCAUCAGAAGUUGAAGUUUCUGUGUCUGCUCGGAACAUCAGAAGGUUGCUCAGUUUCCAGCGGUAUCUUAGAUCAUCACGCUUUUUCCGUGGUACUGCUGUUUCAAAUUCUCUAAACAUUUUAGAUGAUGAUUAUAAUGGACAAGCCAAGUGUAUGCUGGGAAAAGUUGGAAAUUGGAAUUUUGAUAUCUUUCUAUUUGAUAGACUAACAAAUGGAAAUAGUCUAGUAAGUUUAACCUUUCAUUUAUUUAAUCUUCAUGGAUUAAUUGAGUACUUCCAUUUAGAUAUGAUGAAACUUCGUAGAUUUUUAGUGAUGAUUCAGGAAGACUACCACAGUCAGAACCCGUACCACAACGCCGUGCACGCUGCGGACGUCACUCAGGCCAUGCACUGUUACCUAAGAGAACCUAAGCUUGCCAACUCUGUGACUCCUUGGGAUGUCUUGCUGAGCUUAAUUGCAGCUGCAACUCAUGAUCUGGAUCAUCCCGGUGUUAAUCAACCUUUCCUUAUUAAAACUAACCAUUACCUGGCAACUUUAUACAAGAAUACCUCAGUACUGGAAAAUCACCACUGGAGAUCUGCAGUGGGAUUAUUGAGAGAGUCUGGUUUAUUCUCACAUAUGUCAUUAGAAAGCAGGAAACAAAUGGAGACUCAGAUAGGUGCUUUGAUACUAGCCACAGACAUCAGUCGCCAAAACGAGUAUCUGUCAUUGUUUAGGUCCCAUUUGGAUAGAGGUGACUUAUGCCUGGAAGAUGCCAGACAUAGGCAUUUGGUUUUACAGAUGGCUUUAAAAUGUGCUGAUAUUUGUAACCCGUGUCGGACCUGGGAACUGAGCAAGCAGUGGAGUGAGAAAGUAACAGAGGAAUUCUUCCAUCAAGGAGAUAUAGAGAAGAAGUAUCAGCUGGGUGUGAGUCCAUUUUGUGAUCGUCAGACUGAGUCUGUCGCCAACAUCCAGAUCGGUUUCAUGACUUACCUAGUGGAGCCUUUGUUCACCGAAUGGGCCAGGUUUUCCGACAGCAGGCUGUCGCAGACGAUGCUGGGCCACGUGGGGCUGAAUAAAGCCAGCUGGAAGGGGCUGCAGAGAGAGCAGUCCAGCGGCGAGGACACGGAAGCUGCGUUCGAGGAGUUGAACUCACAGUUAUUACCUCAGGAAAACCGGUUGUCCUGACCGCAGUCAGUGCGGCAGCCUGCCUCCGGAGGCUCUCGGAAAUGUGAAAUGGGGGCUUGAGGUGAGAGAACUUACUCCCGACCGCCAAGGUUUCCGAGUGAAUGACGCCAGCAUUAUUUAUGUCCAGGAUCUCCUGUUGGAUCAUUUGAACCCACUUUUUAAUCAUAAGACCUGAACAUACAGCAAUAUGGAUUUGGCUCUCACGUGAAACCUUGCGUCUGCAAAGCCCGGCAGGAGUGAAUCUGGAAGGAAUAACAAAGGAAGUUGUGAGGAGUGCCACGUGCUUCUCGAAGCAUAUAUUCUUCGAACCAUGAAACUUGAACUGAAUCUUUCAGCAGAAAUCUCUUGGAAUUUAACCAGUCCGAUGCCACAUUGUGUAUCUGCACCUUCCACUAAGUUCUCGCUGACAGAUGGGGAAUGUGAAGUGCCCAGCCUCUGCUGCCUCCGGCAAGACUCGAUGUUUACAAACCAACUCUGAGAUACUGCUUCUGAAUUUGCCUUGGAGCACAAUAGUGAAGGAACCACUAAGAAUUUUGUAGAUCAAACUUUCAACUGCAGCUCCUUCCCCCCCAGUUUGCCUUUUUUCUUCUUUGGAUGCCACCAAAGCCUCCCCUUUGCUAUAGUUUGAUUUUGUGCACUGGAAACUGUGCAUUAUCCCAGAAUACCGCCAAGCUUUCCCUCCAGUGCUGUUUGGCAGUGCGAUUUUUUUAAACUCUUGGUUUUUAAUUUGGGGCGGGAGGGGAAGAACACCAAUGUCCUAGCUGUAUUAUGAUUCUGCAGUGAAGACAUUGCAUGUUGUUUUCACUACUGUACACUUGACCUGCACAUGCAAGAAAAGGUGGAAUGUUUAAAACACCAUAAUCAGCUCAGGGUAUUUGCCAAUCUGAAAUAAAGUGGGAUGGGGAAGUGUGUCCUUCAGAGCAAGGGUCCUAAAGUCCCUUUCGCUGCAGUGAGUGAGAGGCAGAUCUUGGCAGAUCUUCAGCUGGUUACUUGGUGAGCAUGGAGUCUGAGCAAGGGAAGCAAGUUGCCUCAUGCGUCCAUUUCCCCGUGGGCCAUACCUGCUGAUAUUCAUGUUUAUGGAGCAGGGCUCCCUCUGCCCAUGGACGAUGCUAGAGGGUCUCUGCCGGUAGCUGCUUCUCCACGUCAGCUUCUGAGUGGCACUUCCAGUAGAUAUGUCAGUACCUUCAUCCUUGUCUUGACUGAACUGGCCUGGGCUCCAUCUGCCUCGGUCUGGUUGAUUGCUUCUGCUCUGAUCUACUAUUUCUUAUUGAUAGUCAAAGGAUUGUCUUAUUUCCAUUCUCAGGGGGGAGACUCCUCAGGUUGCUCCCAUUUCCUGCCUAACACAUAGAACACACCCAUUGAACUGUUUUGUUUUGUUUUUUUGUUACGUAUAUGUGGGAAUCACUGUCUAUAGCUCUGCUUUUUGACUAUAUGAGGGGGGGACCCAAAAAAAACCAGAAUUUAUAAAAAUUAUGUAUUUAUUCUUCUAUGUUUAAACCUCAGUCACCUUCAAAGUACUCUCCAUGUGAUGCAAUACACCUAUCAAGACUUUUUCCCCACUGCUCAAAACUUUUUGAACUUGUCAAUUUUGAUGCCUUUUUGUGCUUUUGCCAUUUUUUGUUUUAUUUCUUCCAUAUUGGCAAAACAUUUCCCUUUGAGGGCUUUCUUCAUCUGGGGAAACAAAGUCACUCGGGAUGAGAGUGGGUGAAUAAAGAGGGUGGGGAACUGGGGUCAAGUAGUUUUUAGUCACAAACUGAAUUUAUCACCCAUCAUGAAACAGGCUAACACUGUGAAAGUCUUCAAAAAAAAUCCAGUGAAGCUGAAUGCAUCCUCUCACAACACCACCAGCUCGUACAUUGACACAGACGGGUUCCUAGGACACUCACCGAGCAGGGGAAGCCUGUGCUACAAGGGGCCUGCCCUGCAGAGAUAAUUCCAGUUUUUGUUGGGUCCCCCACCUCAUAUUCCUUGAACUUUAAUUUUCUAGAAAUAAUUGAGGAAACAGUGAAAUAAUUUAGAAGACCGCAUUUAAAAUAAGUAAUUAGAUAUGGAACAGAAUGCCAAAUUUUGAAGAUACAACAGGAGACUUCAAAGAAUUGUUGAGCAUGAGCAGCCCAUUGGAGCUGUAGCCCCAACUCUUCAGUCGUAGGGGGUUAUCUCCUCUGCUUGGGGGUAAAGGUCCUUGGGGAGAAAAUUUUGGCAAGCCUUAAUGAAAAAAAUCUGAUUCCUGGUCAAUAUUUGUACCUUUGUAAAUGUGAUGGUUCACAAUGACUCUAUGUAUAAAAUAAGUAAAUAUUUUAUGUCCUUUGCAAACCUGGGAAAUAUAUCUGUACCUGACAUACAGGUUUAGAGGUGCUAGUAAUUCUUUGAAGAUUCCUAUAACAGUCUUUUUCCAAAAUGUUUUCUUGGCUCUUAAAGCUUUCAGUUUUCUUAAAACUUUUACAUUAGAGGUUUACAAUGUUUUCAUGUAUAUUUUUUAAAAUGUAUAUUUUGUUUAAAUCCCCACCCAAUCAGUAUCUUCUGCUUGGGAAAAUAGAUAUGACUGACAGCCACUAUGCAUUCAGUAAUCAUUUUAAACAAAGGUGCGUAUUAAAACACCAUAGUAUAAGCAUACAUUUGAAGCAUAAGAAGAUUGUAUGGAUAUGCGUAAAAGUUAGUCUGAGCCAUUUCUUACUUGCUAAGGAUCUACAGACAACCUGUGUCUUUUGGAAGGCCCCCUAACGGUCCAUGGUGGAAUGGCCAUUCUUGGGGGCGAGCUGACUGGUGGGGUGGGGUGGGGAGGGGACACAGGUCUCCUUGUCUCAUUUUCAGCAUAGACUAGCAUAAACUGGGCCAUCAAUAUGUGGUUGUUGAACAAGUAACUUGGUGUUUUAAUUUUAUGUUUUCCUUUUUAGCUAUUUAUCAUAAGAGAAAUUAUACUGAAACUAGUCUGUUUAUGCUGAAGUUAUGUGGUAAGCAAUACCCGAGUUCCUGUUGUGUGCAGAGCACUGCGCUGGAUGUAAUAAAGGUAUUAAAAAUUUCAAGACAUGGCCUCUGUUUUCAAAAUGUUUGGGUGACCAAAUGAUGUGUGAAGUGUUAUUCAAUAUGGCAGGCUUCUGUAUUGUACACAAUGAAUGUAAGGUGUUGGGGUGUUUAGAAUGAAUGAUUUAGUUCAUUAAUUUGCUUCCAUGUUGUCAGCUGUUCCCAAUGCUUUUUAAUGCAUUUUUCAUUUACUGAAUUCUUCAGCUCGAUUUUACUGCUUUGUUUCAGUCUCUUUAGUAAAGUGCUCCUGUUCCUUAAUUUUAUCCCUGAGCCAUUGAACUGCCUAAAGUUUCUUGGAUCUCAUUUUUUCAUGAUUUUGAGUUUAUGAAUUGUUUUCCUUGUGUUACUUUGGUUGUUCAUGUGAUUGAGGUGUUGGUGCGUUUGAAGUAGUGAGCACCUUAUUUCAAGAUGACAGAGGUCUUUCAUCUGUUUUUGCGCUGUGUGGAGCACGAGCUUGUUUUCUCUUACCUGUGCUACUUGUGCCCCGGCAGUGAUGGCGUGGUGUCCCUACUGUGGUGGGGUUGCCUGGGUCUCAGGGCACUGCCGCUGUAGUGGGAGAAUAUGGCGGGUGGGGGGAGCCAGGUUUCCCCUACUCACCCUCCCCGGGCCAUGGUGUGGGCACUGUGCCCUUCCUUCCCACCAUCCUGCCUCCCCUGUGCAGUAAUGUGUGGACCUCUCAGGCUUGCUAGUGUUGAGCAGAGGAAACUUUGUUGGGUUACAGAUGUCCAAAUGGUGUAAAUUUAAGGGGAUACAAAGGGCUCUUCUCCACCAUGAUGCUAAGAUUGUAUGAGAUUCUUGAGCAUAAAUUUCAAGCGCUUAUUGUUGAGCCAUAAUCAGAAGGCUGCAUGAUAUUCCUUUAUUCUACCUGAAAUUCAUGUUAUUUAUCUGAACUUUUCAAAGGAAGUAGUAUCCUUGGCUGCCGGAAGCAGAACCUGCAGUUUGGUCAUUCUGUGAUGCAGCUCAUUACUGCAUCUGCUUACUUUACCCACACUCCUCCUUUUUAGUCGUGGGUCCUUGGGCAAGCUACCUAAUCUUUUGAGGGGCUUCCUAAACUGUAAAAUGUGUUUCUUAAAAGUAAAAUAAUGUAUUGACACACAGGCACAUGCCAAAUCAAUGCCCUAAUUCAUUUCCUCAUAAUCCGUUGAGUAUAAACUCUUCAGGGACACAGUUGUACUUCCCACCAUCCUUAGUUGAGCUCCAGGUACCAGCUGCUCCCCUUUGUUCGGGUUUCCUGUUCAAAUUCUGAGGGAAACUCUCAUGGGACCAGCUUAUCAAGGCUGUGUCCCUGGUCAAACACCAGUCUGAGCAUUACCAGGUGUUCCUUGUAGAAGGGAAGGCAGAAGUUCAGAUGCUGCUGUUUGCCUUAGAGUUGGGUUAAGAAGUAUUCAGAUAACUAACCCUGAGAUCAGUCUCUUGUACCCCCCCCACCCGUGUUGCCAACACCCACAUUUCAGAUGACAACCCAACCACAGUAGUUCUCACCCUUUGAUAAAAAGCACACCUGACCAAUGAAUAGGGACGGCCAUUAGGCAACAUCAACAGCAGGCUUUUCAUAACCUCCAGUAAAAAUCUUGUUAUGAAGAGUUUGGCCUUUCUCCCCAAAUUAAGGCUUCUCCAGCCAGGAAGAAAGCAAUUAUGAGGGACAGCCCUAUAAUAGCCAUGGUGCUUUUUUUUAUUAUUUACCUUCCCUGAGGAGGUCUGAUUUACACUUGACUCUUAUGGAAGGAGCGCUUUGUGACCUUUAGAACAGGCUGCAGAAGCUACCAGAGGAGAAGUUUAGAAAGCUCCAGCUGUAGGAACACUGAGGCAUCUGGCACAGGGGAAGUGUGCUCGACAGUCUCACAGGGAGACAUGGGUGAUUUCUGGGUCCUGAUUUGGUCAGGCUGUUUUUAUCAUCCUAUGUGUUCUCUAGUGACUUCACUAGUACCAGGGAAGAACUAGCCUGCUUACGGGUUUUAUCAGGAAAAACUAAAAAGAAUGUUAAAAAAUAGGGUUAGUGAGAUAGCUCAGAAGAAUGCUGAAUCUCUAGGAUGAGAAAGGGAAAGGACUCAAGAAUGGCUGGAAGUUCAUGAGAAAUGAACUGUGACAACAGGCAUAACUGAUACUGUCAUUAAACCAAGUGUCUCAUUCUGCCUGGACAAUCCCAGAGCUGACUUUAUCGGGUUAACGCCUCAAAGUCUAAACUUCCACCGGCCAGAUUCUCACCUAGAGAGAACAUCUAUUUUUGGUAAGUUAUCAGGAGAGAUGGUUUUUCCCAAGUAUUUGUUUUUGGUAGUUGUCCCCUAAUGUUAUCUUCUUUACCACUUACAUAUAGGAAUUCUUAAUACAGCAAAAAGAAUAAGUUCGUCUGCAGAAGAGCUUGUGACUAGGGAGACAACCAGAACUAAAGACGGCAAGUCCUACUGCUCUACCCUAAGCCUGUGCAGGUGCCAGGGACCAACCACAUAUAGGAGAAAUCCACCGACUGGAAACUACAGUGACCACAUAUGAAAUGAUACUGGAUGGCACUGAGGUGACUUCCCUUUUUAAAGGAAAGCCUUACGGAAUUUUAGCAAACCCCAUCUCCGAGGAAAUGUGAGAGAAAAAUCUAAGAUAAAAGUUCUGUUCAAGUUAUCUGCUUGUAAAUCCUGUGGCACAUCCCAUUCAAAUCUUAACAGAGGACACAGCUGAUCACUGGUAAAAUGGAAGUGCUCAGCAAAGAAGUCUGAGGCAAUACUCACCAACACUGUUUCUGAAGUAGCCUCUGAUGCAGACUUUGAAAUUCCUUUUUCAGCCUCAUCUUGGCUAUCACUUCGAUACCGGGUCACGAUUUUGGCAAUCUGAGCUCUGAGAGCAGCAAGUUCAUUUUCAAGAGCACAGAUCUUCUGCAGUGCUUCCUCAUUUGCCAGUGGUGUCUUCAGUUGAGGCUCUUCCGGAGACAGGUUUGCUUCCCUCAGUUUCAUGUGGUCAUGUUCUGGUUAACAAGAUGCCUGCAGACUGUUGUGAGACACCUAGGAAGGCUGCUUAAAGGGAAAUGACUCCAUGAAAACAUCCUCUCAUCUCCAGCUUCACAACCCUUCUUCUCCUGAGAGCAGCGAGUGCCACAUGAUGUCUGAGUUUGAGAGUUGUAGAAGGCCAGGCACUAACCUUGACAUGAAGCCAACACUAAGGACGGCAGAGCCUUGGCUGGGUCCCUGAGGACUGUGGAGUCACUGUCAGCUCCAGACUAUCUACUUUGGUUGUUUUUAAGAGAGAAAUAAACUAGAUGGAGAGAAAAAUAAACUCACAUCCUGUUAAAGUCA